rnacentral:misc_RNA from 1 species
UCCGGUUUAACACCGGCAGUCCCUCUAGAGAUCCACUUGCGUGGCAACUAAAGGCGAGGGUUGCGCUCGUUGCGGGACUUAACCCAACAUCUCACGACACGAGCUGACGACAGCCAUGCAGCACCUCUAUACAGACCUCCGAAGAGGGGCUCUCAUCUCUGAGACUUUCCUGUACAGUUCAAACCCAGGUAAGGUCCUGCGCGUUGCUUCGAAUUAAACCACAUGCUCCACCGCCUGUGCGGGCCCCCGUCAAUUCUUUUGAGUUUUAGCCUUGCGGCCGUAGUCCCCAGGCGGCACACUUAAUGCGUUAGCUGCGGCGCCGAGGGGGUCGAUACCCCCGACACCUAGUGUGCAUCGUUUACGGCGUGGACUAC